GUUCGCAAGUGCCCCCAGCUCCCCUUGGUGUCCCCAGUGUCCCCUUCGCAGUGAGGGAGACAUGGCACCACGUGAACUGGGUGGAAGUUGGGUCCUGGUGGGCCCGGGAUCCUCGCUGGGCAUGGACACCUGGGGCAGAGGCCGCGCGGGCGGAGGGUGCCAGGAGGGCGAUGGGCUGUGGACUGGUGCCACCGGAAGGGCAGACGGGCCUGGCCUGAUGCUUCCUGGUGCUGCCCCCCUGCCCGGGCACAGUCCAGGGUGUGCUGCCCUUCGAACUGCACUGUGAUCCAUAUUGACAGGCGGCAGGAUAAUCAUUAACUGCCACCGGGGCUGGGCCAACGGCUCAAAAGGCGCUGGGCCCACUUCCUCCUCAUGCCUCCAGGGCCAGCCCGCACCCAGGUAAGAGCCUGCAGCCCCUCUGCCCGCCCCUCUGCAGGGUCCUAGCCCCUCGAGGAAGAAAGGAAGCGACCUAGGCAAUGGCUAGUGACCUCAACUCCCUUCCUCCCUUGGGCCUCAGCUUCCCCCUUGGGGGAGGGAGCGGGACCCUCAUGGCUGUGGCAUCCCCGUGAUGCUGCCGCCGGUUGGGGCACUCGGUCGUGCCCCUGCGUCCUCGGGAGGGGCUGGUGGGAGGGGGGUACCUAGCUCUGGUGUGUUCAUCACAGGCCUGCCCUCCCGGGCAGAGGCCUCCUGCCUGGGGUCCCCCAGCCCACUUGACUGCAUCCUGGGAGACGCCACUUGAGGGAGGUUGCCAUGCAGGACAGACCUGGAGGCCCCGCUCUGUGACCUUGGGCCGCCUCCUCGGCCUCUCUGGGCCAGUUUCCACACAGGGAAACGGGGUGGGGGUGGGGGGGUGGCCCGACUCGAAGAGCUCAGAGCCCCAGCUCCUCUUCCUCUCCAGAAGCCUUGGGGUCUCUGAAAUGUCCCCUCAGCAGCAACCUGUCACUCAAGCCUGGUGGUCCAGAGCCGGUCUGGGGGGAUGAGAAAACACUGCAGAGGAAAGGUCUGGGGGCCGGGGCCAGUGCGGGGACCCCAACCGGCAGUUCCUUCCUCUCCCUACACCACGGGCUGAAGGGAGGGUGCUGCCCACCAGUCUAGGCCCAUGUGCAGGACAGCUCACAGCCCUAAAGCAUAUGAGGAACCAGCUGCGGCCACAUGUUCAAGGUCACCCAGCUCCCGGGCCACCAAGGUGCUGAGAGUUUUUUCAAGAUGGGUGGUUGCUUACAGCCCUGUUCUCACCAUCCUGCCAGCAGGGCCAUCUCCUGCGGAAUCUGGGCAUUUGGAGGUCCCUGGGGACGACAGACCCAGCCAUCCCUCGCCCUCUGCCCUGUGGCUGCGGCGGGAAGGGUGGGCAAAGGGCAGAGGAGGGAGGCACAGCAGCCAAACUGGAACCGGGGCCCAGCUCGGGUUGGGAAAGAAACGAGGAAACAAGGAACUUGGGGACAGAGGGUGUGGGUGUCAGAGGGGCAAAGGCUGUGCCGGAGUGUAAGUCAGGGCCACUCCCGGCUCUGUGGGCAGAUCUGGGGCUGAGCCUGGACUUCGCCCAGAGAAGGAGCGGGCCCCGCACGAUAAGGAGCCUCAAUAAAAAGACCAUGGACCCAGGGCCCCGAGGACCCAGGGGCCCAGGUCAUGGCUGCGGGGCCCUCCCCGGACCUCAGCCCGAGAAGAGCUGCCUCCAGCGGCUCCCACCCCC